rnacentral:rRNA from 1 species
GACGAACGCUGGCGGCGUGCUCAACACAUGCAAGUCGAACGCUGAAGCCCAGCUUGCUGGGUGGAUGAGUGGCGAACGGGUGAGUAGCACGUGAGUAACCUGCCCCCUUCUUUGGGAUAACGCCCGGAAACGGGUGCUAAUACUGGAUAUUCACUGAUCUUCGCAUGGGGGUUGGUGGAAAGGUUUUUUCUGGUGGGGGAUGGGCUCGCGGCCUAUCAGCUUGUUGGUGGGGUGAUGGCCUACCAAGGCUUUGACGGGUAGCCGGCCUGAGAGGGUGACCGGUCACAUUGGGACUGAGAUACGGCCCAGACUCCUACGGGAGGCAGCAGUGGGGAAUAUUGCACAAUGGGCGAAAGCCUGAUGCAGCGACGCCGCGUGAGGGAUGACGGCCUUCGGGUUGUAAACCUCUUUCGCUCAUGGUCAAGCCGCAGCUUUGGGUUGUGGUGAGGGUAGUGGGUAAAGAAGCGCCGGCUAACUACGUGCCAGCAGCCGCGGUAAUACGUAGGGCGCGAGCGUUGUCCGGAAUUAUUGGGCGUAAAGGGCUUGUAGGCGGUUGGUCGCGUCUGCCGUGAAAUCCUCUGGCUUAACUGGGGGCGUGCGGUGGGUACGGGCUGACUUGAGUGCGGUAGGGGAGACUGGAACUCCUGGUGUAGCGGUGGAAUGCGCAGAUAUCAGGAAGAACACCGGUGGCGAAGGCGGGUCUCUGGGCCGUUACUGACGCUGAGGAGCGAAAGCGUGGGGAGCGAACAGG